rnacentral:rRNA from 1 species
GUGGGGAAUAUUGGACAAUGGGCGAAAGCCUGAUCCAGCCAUGCCGCGUGUGUGAAGGAGGUCUUCGGAUUGUAAAGCACUUUAAGUUGGGAGGAAGGGCAGUAAGUUAAUACCUUGCUGUUUUGACGUUACCAACAGAAUAAGCACCGGCUAACUUCGUGCCAGCAGCCGCGGUAAUACGAAGGGUGCAAGCGUUAAUCGGAAUUACUGGGCGUAAAGCGCGCGUAGGUGGUUCAGCAAGUUGAAGGUGAAAUCCCCGGGCUCAACCUGGGAACUGACUCCAAAACUACUGAGCUAGAGUACGGUAGAGGGUAGUGGAAUUUCCUGUGUAGCGGUGAAAUGCGUAGAUAUAGGAAGGAACACCAGUGGCGAAGGCGACUACCUGGACUGAUACUGACACUGAGGUGCGAAAGCGUGGGGAGCAAACAGGAUUAGAAACCCCAGUAGUCC